GACGUAGGGUGCAAGCGUUGUCCGGAUUUAUUGGGCGUAAAGAGUUCGUAGGCGGUUUGUUAAGUCUGGUGUUAAAGACUGGGGCUCAACCCCAGCAUGGCAUUGGAUACUGGCAAGCUAGAGUGCGGUAGAGGUCUCGGGAAUUCCAGGUGUAGCGGUGAAAUGCGUAGAUAUCUGGAGGAACACCGGUGGCGAAAGCGGCUCACUGGCCCGAUACUGACGCUGAGGUGCGAAAGUGUGGGGAGCGAACAGG
rnacentral:rRNA from 1 species